AACGCCUCCCGCUUCCUUCUGGCAGGUGGGCGCCUCUCUGACCCUGGAGCCCGCUUCUGGAGCCACUGCCAGCACAGGAGAGCCCAGCACUAGCCACGGGAGCACAGAUGCAGAAAUGCUCUCAAGGGCUAGAAACUCAGGCUCCCGCCGAAGCCACGGCCCACUGGAAAGCCAGAGCCAUCUUGAGGAACGUGGCGGCCCAGCCUCAUCAGCUCUGGCUUGGCUGAGCUCUGUGGCCCGAGGGGCAGACUGUCCUGUGCACAGUGAACACCAUCAAGGGGAAGACAACCGCUGGGCCAAGCUACUCCAGGGGCACCAGAGGGGCCCUCGGGAAACCUCACCACACCUGGGACCAGGAGAAACAGGGUCUGUCAGCAUGCUGUGGC